rnacentral:rRNA from 1 species
UACGUAGGGUGCAAGCGUUAAUCGGAAUUACUGGGCGUAAAGCGUGCGCAGGCGGUUUUGUAAGCCAGAUGUGAAAUCUCCGGGCUUAACCCGGAGCGGUCAAGUGAUACUGUCGUGCUAGAGUGCGGAAGGGGCUACUGGAAUUCUCGGUGUAGCGGUGAAAUGCGUAGAUAUCGAGAGGAACACCUGGCGGCGAAGGCGGGUAGCUGGGCCGAACACUGACGCUGGAUGCGCGAAAGCCUAGGGGAGCGAACGGG